rnacentral:rRNA from 1 species
CACGCAGGCGGUUUGUUAAGUCAGAUGUGAAAUCCCCGCGCUUAACGUGGGAACUGCAUUUGAAACUGGCAAGCUAGAGUCUUGUAGAGGGGGGUAGAAUUCCAGGUGUAGCGGUGAAAUGCGUAGAGAUCUGGAGGAAUACCGGUGGCGAAGGCGGCCCCCUGGACAAAGACUGACGCUCAGGUGCGAAAGCGUGGGGAGCAAACA